UACAGAGGUCUCAAGCGUUGUUCGGAUUCAUUGGGCGUAAAGGGCGCGUAGGUGGCGUUGUAAGUCGGGUGUGAAAUUUCGGAGCUUAACUCCGAAACUGCAUUCGAUACUGCGGUGCUUGAGGACUGGAGAGGAGACUGGAAUUCAUGGUGUAGCAGUGAAAUGCGUAGAGAUCAUGAGGAAGACCAGUGGCGAAGGCGGGUCUCUGGACAGUUCCUGACACUGAGGCACGAAGGCCAGGGGAGCAAACGGG
rnacentral:rRNA from 1 species